rnacentral:rRNA from 1 species
UACGGAGGGUGCAAGCGUUAUUCGGAAUUACUGGGCGUAAAGCGCGUGUAGGCGGUCCUGCAAGUCUGAUGUGAAAGCCCCGGGCUUAACCCGGGAAGUGCAUUGGAAACUGUAGGACUUGAGUACUGGAGAGGAUGGGGGAAUUCCCGGUGUAGAGGUGAAAUUCGUAGAGAUCGGGAGGAAUAUCAGUGGCGAAGGCGCCCAUCUGGACGGUAACUGACGCUGAGACGCGAAAGCGUGGGGAGCAAAC